rnacentral:rRNA from 1 species
AUUGAACGCUGGCGGCGUGCCUAACACAUGCAAGUCGAACGAGUGGCGAACGGGUGAGUAAUGCAUCGGAACGUACCUGGUGGAGGGGGAUACCUGUCCGAAAGGACAGCUAAUACCGCAUACCAUUCGAUCUGCCGAGGUCGGAUUAGCUGGUUGGCGGGGUAAAGGCUCACCAAGGCGACGAUCAGUAGCGGGUCUGAGAGGAUGAACCGCCACACUGGGACUGAGACACGGCCCAGACUCCUACGGGAGGCAGCAGUGGGGAAUUUUGGACAAUGGGCGCAAGCCUGAUCCAGCCAUGCCGCGUGUCUGAAGAAGGCCUUCGGGUUGUAAAGUACUUUUGUCAGGGAAGCGGUACCUGAAGAAUAAGCACCGGCUAACUACGUGCCAGCAGCCGCGGUAAUAC